GUAGGUGGCAAGCGUUGUCCGGAAUUAUUGGGUGUAAAGCGCGCGCAGGCGGUUCUUUAAGUCUGAUGUGAAAGCCCACGGGCUCAACCGUGGAGGGUCAUUGGAAACUGGAGAACUUGAGUACAGAAGAGGAAAGCGGAAUUCCACGUGUAGCGGUGAAAUGCGUAGAGAUGUGGAGGAACACCAGUGGCGAAGGCGGCUUUCUGGUCUGUAACUGACGCUGAGGCGCGAAAGCGUGGGGAGCAAACAGGAUUAGAUACCCUGGUAGUCCACGCCGUAAACGAUGAGUGCUAAGUGUUAGGGGGUUUCCGCCCCUUAGUGCUGCAGCUAACGCAUUAAGCACUCCGCCUGGGGAGUACGGCCGCAAGGCUG
rnacentral:rRNA from 1 species